GAUGAAGAACGCAGCGAAAUGCGAUACGUAAUGUGAAUUGCAGAAUUCAGUGAAUCAUCGAAUCUUUGGACGCACAUUGCGCCCGCCAGCACUCUGGCGGGCAUGCCUGUUCGAGCGUCAUUUCAACCAUCAAGCCCCAGGCUUGCGUUGGAGCCCUGCGGCUGCCGCAGCCUCCUAAAAGCAGUGGCGGGCUCGCUAUCACACCGAGUGCAGUAGAUUACUCUUCGCUCAGGGCGUGCAGCGGGUUCCGGCCGUGAAACCCCCUACUUUUAAAGGUUGACCUCGGAUCAGGUAGGAAUACCCGCUGAACUUAAGCAUAUCAAUAAGCGGAGGA
rnacentral:misc_RNA from 1 species